AACAUUGAGCUUGCUUAAUGUUCUUAGUGGCGGACGGGUGAGUAACACGUGAGUAACCUGCCUCUGAGAGUGGGAUAGCUUCUGGAAACGGAUGGUAAUACCGCAUAACAUCAUGGAUUCGCAUGUUUCUAUGAUCAAAGAUUUAUCGCUUAGAGAUGGACUCGCGUCUGAUUAGCUAGUUGGUAAGGUAACGGCUUACCAAGGCGACGAUCAGUAGCCGGACUGAGAGGUUGAUCGGCCACAUUGGGACUGAGACACGGCCCAGACUCCUACGGGAGGCAGCAGUGGGGAAUAUUGCACAAUGGGGGGAACCCUGAUGCAGCGAUGCCGCGUGGAGGAAGAAGGUUUUCGGAUUGUAAACUCCUGUUGAAGAGGACGAUAAUGACGGUACUCUUUUAGAAAGCUCCGGCUAACUACGUGCCAGCAGCCGCGGUAAUACGUAGGGAGCGAGCGUUGUCCGGAAUUACUGGGUGUAAAGGGAGCGUAGGCGGGAUGGCAAGUCAGAUGUGAAAACUAUGGGCUCAACCCAUAGACUGCAUUUGAAACUGUUGUUCUUGAGUGAGGUAGAGGUAAGCGGAAUUCCUGGUGUAGCGGUGAAAUGCGUAGAGAUCAGGAGGAACAUCGGUGGCGAAGGCGGCUUACUG
rnacentral:rRNA from 1 species